ACACUCAGGGAGUACACCAUGUGAAGACUGGACUUAAACAGCUACACCACCAGAAGCCGAGAGAGAGGCUGGAACAUAGCCUUCCCUUUGGAGCCCUAGCAGAUGCUAAUCCAGCGUGCGUCCUGACAGAGGUUGAAGGGGGCUUCUCAAGUCCCAGGUCCAGCUUGGUGUGGUUCAGCUACUCAAGAGACAUCUGCUGCUAAUGGAUGAGCAGUCAACCUGGACGCAGGAAAUCAUUUUUUAUUUGGACUCAUGCCCAAAGUUACGGAGGACCCAGCAACCAUCUCCUGCAGCCCCUGGAAACCUCUUGACUCUUCUGUGAUGUCCCCAGUGAUCCAGCAGCCCUGGCCUUCUUUUGAUGGCUUGAACAUUUGGUCUUCAUUGAACAGUUUGUAUAUUGGAAACUUGCCAGCCUCCAUCCACAUUCCAACCUCCGUCUGCAUCCCUCGGUACAAAAUGGUUCAAUCUGUCUACCUCCUUUCACAUUCCACCAAGAUAUUCCAAGGCCCAGGGUUCCUUUGACCACCUCACACCUAACAAGUUCCCUCACUGUCUCUCACUCUCCCCUGAAGAUUCUAAGCUGCCUCUGUCCUGCUAAAACUGUAGACCUGAGAAUGAAGUAAGGUGCUUCAGGUGAGGCUUGAUCAGCCCAGAGCAGAAAGGGGCCACCUCCUCCCACCCUAUAAGACCCUAUUAGUGCACCUUGGAGCCCUUUGCUUGGCUGGUGGCUACAAUACACUUCUGUUAAUGACGGAAUUCCAUAACAUUUUUCCCCAUUAAUUUCUGCUACAAAACACAAAA
ensembl:lncRNA CYTOR cytoskeleton regulator RNA